rnacentral:misc_RNA from 1 species
AAGCUGCGAUACGUAAUGUGAAUUGCAGAAUUCAGUGAAUCAUCGAAUCUUUGAACGCAAAUUGCGCCAACGGCUCCCCGUUGGCAUGCCUGUCUGAGUGUCAUUUUCCAACCUCUUUCCUACCUACUUUUAGUAGUAGUGGGAAAGGCAGUGAGGUGGUCCUGGAGCCUGGUUCUCCAUGUCCCUUUAAAUCACGUAGGCGUUGCUUUGUGUAUCUUCCUACCAAUUGCAAACGCGGUUUUUGGCCUAUAAAAGAAGAAGAGAAACUUUUCUUUUCUUCCUUUUUACUUUCAAGAACCUGCGGGUAGGCGCAAAGGCGCUCUUCUAAACUUUUAAAAAUCAUGACCUCAGAUCAGACAAGACUACCCGCUGAAUUUAA